rnacentral:rRNA from 1 species
UACGGAGGGUGCAAGCGUUAUCCGGAUUCACUGGGUUUAAAGGGUGCGUAGGCGGGUUGGUAAGUCCGUGGUGAAAUCUCCAAGCUUAACUUGGAAACUGCCGUUGAUACUAUCUGUCUUGAAUGUUGUGGAGGUGAGCGGAAUAUGUCAUGUAGCGGUGAAAUGCUUAGAUAUGACAUAGAACACCAAUUGCGAAGGCAGCUCACUACACAAUUAUUGACUCUGAGGCACGAAAGCGUGGGGAUCAAACAGG